UACGGGGGGGGGCAAGCGUUUGUUCGGAAUUAUUGGGCGUAAAGAGCUCGUAGGCGGUUUGUCGCGUCUGCCGUGAAAGUCCGGGGGCUCAACUCCGGAUCUGCGGUGGGUACGGGGCAGACUAGAGUGAUGUAGGGGGAGACUGGAAUUCCUGGUGUAGCGGUGAAAUGCGCAGAUAUCAGGAGGAACACCGAUGGCGAAGGCAGGUCUCUGGGCAUUAACUGACGCUGAGGAGCGAAAGCUGGGGAGCGAACAGG
rnacentral:rRNA from 1 species